CCUACGGGGGGCUGCAGUGGGGAAUAUUGGACAAUGGGGGCAACCCUGAUCCAGCUAUGCCGCGUGUGUGAAGAAGGCCCUCGGGUUGUAAAGCACUUUCAGUGAGGAAGAACGCCUGGUGGUUAAUACCCAUCAGGAAAGACAUCACUCACAGAAGAAGCACCGGCUAACUCCGUGCCAGCAGCCGCGGUAAUACGGAGGGUGCGAGCGUUAAUCGGAAUUACUGGGCGUAAAGCGCGCGUAGGUGGCUUGAUAAGCCGGUUGUGAAAGCCCCGGGCUCAACCUGGGAACGGCAUCCGGAACUGUCAAGCUAGAGUGCAGGAGAGGAAGGUAGAAUUCCCGGUGUAGCGGUGAAAUGCGUAGAGAUCGGGAGGAAUACCAGUGGCGAAGGCGGCCUUCUGGACUGACACUGACACUGAGGUGCGAAAGCGUGGGUAGCAAACAGGAUUAGAUACCCCGGUAGUC
rnacentral:rRNA from 1 species